rnacentral:lncRNA from 1 species
UGUGUUCGGGAACAUAAUGGUUUUUUUUACUAGGACAUAAGAAUAAGUAGAUAUACGGUGCAUCCCAGGCCUUACUUGUGUGACUUCUCAGUCUGAACUACCCUUCUCUCUUUCCUUCCUACUGGCCAACAAAUCUGGUUUGUUAGUGAAAGUCUGCCACUACGCUAACUAGCCUCAUCACUCUGGUCUUUACUGUAUCUCAGCAUGUUCCUACUGCCUGCCAUUCUGUAUCGAGCCCUAGAUUCUUAUUAUGUUGAUUUGUAUUCAUGAUAAUGAUUAUGUUUACUUAUAUUUAUAUGCAUUGAUUUAUAUGUGUGUUAAUAUAUAGUAAUUGAUUCUAGUGUAUCCUACGACGCUAGGACAGAAUUGAACAAAUAAGUAGAAGAGGCAAGCAACGUACAUUAUCACAGAACUCAACCCGUAGCCGAGCCUUAUUAUUGAGCAUCGAUCCAACAAACCUCAAUCGUUAGUUAAUUGAACUCCGCUGUCCAAGUCAUAAAGCUACUACUAGCUCUUAGCCCGAUCUUCCCAGCUUUGAUUCUUGCUUCGCAGUUCGGGCCUGUCUCUCUGGAUUUGGAUUCUACCAUUCCCGGACCUACGUCUUGCUUUGUUAGCUUCCCUUACUUGCUUUUAGUCUAUCUUUUCUCGAACCAGAUUGACUUUCGCCAAUACCAAUAUGAAAGAGGCAAUUAAGAGACUAGUUUGUUAGCGUACGAGACCGGACAAGUAACUAAAGACAUAAUUCCACUCAAAAGAUAUAAUGGAACUGGGCCCAGCCCCUUACUAUUGAUAUACUAAUCCAAAAUCUGGCUUUACCGUCUCUAGGCUUACUGCCCGGAUCUAACAUAUGGAUUUGGUAUCGGCGGUUCCAUUCUACCUAGUUAUAGUGAAAUUCUUUGCAUCAUCUUUUCUUAUUAUAUUAUCAGUAGCUCAGCUCUUUUCUAAUAAGUACUUUUAGAUUCUUCCAGGUAUUAGUAAGCUUGUUUGCUUCUCAAGGUUAUAGGCAGGAAAGUCAUACUCUAGCUCGUUAAGGGGCAGCCGCUACACUAGUUCUCUUUCUCACUUAACACAGGUCAAAAAAGCAGAAAGAAAACACUCUUUUGGGUCUCUUCCCGUAUGCACUGGAUCAUAUCUCACUUCUUUAUUUCACUAGUGUUGAGAACGCUUGACUGUGUACUAUGCCCUUAUUCUUAUACUAUGGAGCUUAUACUAUGGAGCUUCCGCUAUGGAGUUUGGUUCUAUGUUCUACUAACCAUGUCCUGUAUUCACGAUAUACGUCUGAUACGGCGCCUAGAGAUAUAACUUCUAUUAAUAUAUGGCUGUUACUUAUGUGUUUCGUUCCUGUUCGACUUGUCCCUACUACUAAUAAGUUUCAUCCUGAUGCUUACUCCUAUUAGUCUACUACUGGUGCUUACUCCUAUUAUACGAUGUGCUAUGUCAUACACAUAUUCUUAUUCCCUUUUGAGUAUAGAUGCACUGGCAAUUAUGUAUUAGGGCCCCUAUGAAUCACAUUCCUUUUUCUAAGGAACAGUAUUGGUAGCACUAGUUGUAGCAUCAAAGCAAGUAAAGCCGGGGAAUGUAAGCAAGGAUAUUAGGACUCAUUUUCUAUAUUGAUUCUUUUACCCAUAUUGAUUGAGUUGCUAGUUAAAGGAAGAGGCGGACUAGCAAGGAGUAGCAGGGCGAUGAGUUCUAGUUUGGAGUCCUUUUUUGAAUGGAACUCAUUGGCAUAGGAAUGACCAUGGAAAGUUUGAAUUAAAGGACCGAGUCACAGAAUUGACACUAUUUCUUCUAAUAAUGGAGUGGGCAGGUGCGUAGAUCAAUAAGGUCAGGGUACCUGGCUAAGUUAUCCAAUUCUCAAGUCAGGAUACCUGGGCUACUAUGGGCUAAGAAAUGAACUAAUUAGUCAAAGAAUGCUUGUAGUGUUGUGCGUGUGAACAGAUGUAGCCAAGUAAAUAAAAGAAUGGAAAUAGAAUCUAGGGCAAAUGCCCCGCAAGGUAGGAAGCCGGAAUUGCACUCAGUAGUAACGGAAUCAAAGCUGUUGACUUAACCACAUAAGCUAGCCUCGUACCACUAGCUACUACCGAUAAGACUGAUGAAACACCCCAGUGGAUUGAACUGCCAUUCCUUUCUUUUGGCCCGAGACAUCCUAAACCGAAACAACUGAUUCAGAUACUUUAGCCGCGGAUAUAGAACCUCCUCCACAGCUCAAGGCUUGCUCCACUGGCUUCAAUACCUUAUCUUCCCAUAAUGAAUUCCACUAAUGCCUUAAGGGCUACCGCACCUACCGUAUAUGUCAAGUAUGGCUUUCCUGCCUUUAGGUCUCCUAUUGCUCUAUCCUAUUCUCCAAUUACUGCCCUAGAACCUUGCCUUACAUACUACAAGCUUUAUUCCCUCUUCCACGCCUCUACUCCUUAGUUGCACAUCUUAUCCUAUCUAUCCCAUCUAUAAGUCGUACUAUAUCCUCUCUAGGCCUGGCACUGCUAUAUCAAGGGAUCCGACAUACCAUCCCAGUCUAAUACCUCCUCUUGGAAUAAUGAAUUACUAAAACUAGAAACAAGACCGGUGCCACUAAUAUGAAAAGGGUAGCACCUACCCCCACACGAGAAUCACUUUUAUGCUAAGAAAGAAUUAAGCUACGACUAUUAGAUUGAAACACUACCUUGUCAGAGUAGAGGUCCUAUACUGGCAGUAAUGAACCAAAGAACAAUAACUUUACAUACAUAAUGGGAACAACGAUAGGAGAUCAGAAUACAAAUCAAACUAACAACACUGACUCCGCUAACUUGGAAUUCCGAUGGUGCCUAUAAGAUUGACACCGGGCUACUAACUAUAGAAAUGGGUCUACUACUUAAGUGAAGAGAAAACAAAACCUAUUGCUUCUGGAGCCAACUAGGAAUUACGCUCAUUGAUAUCAGAACCAAACCCAUCAAUCAGCAUAUGGAACGAAGCUACCCCACAGUAUUGCUUGUAUCGGUAGCACAUGGGUAGCAACGAACGUAUCAAUAGCAUAGGUAGCAAUGAAAACCAUAUUGAUUGAUUGCGCGUACGCGUAUCAAUAGCACAUAGGUAGUAUCAAUACAAUAACAGAGCAGAAGAGAGUUAGACAGAAGAGAGUUUCUUCCGUGCCAAAUCUAUUCUAUUCUCUUAUCCCCGUGCCAAAUCUAUUCUAUUCUCUUAUAAUAAUUAGAAUAUAGUUGAUUCAGUGCCAAUGCAAUAUAUGACUUUGAGCAGCAUAUACUACUUUUCACUGAUUGGUAUAGGGAUGCCUAGCUUACUUGCACAGCACAGUCAACACACCUACACACGGAGAAAAGAAACAAACACAUCUAGAGCUGCUAGUCACUCAUUAUUCAAGUCAAAUAACUCAUGCAUUGCAGGGCCGGGCAAUCAUUCUUGUCGUAAAAGCCCUUAAGCCCGAAAGUCACAUCAGUAAGUCUGUUAGCGGACCCACGUUCUGUUGAUUAGGGUCAACGUCGACGUCAACGAGCAUACCCCGCAGAGAACUAAGUCGAUAGUUCGGGUCGGUGGUCCACACACUCGUUCUGUUAGGUCAUUCAAUCAUUCUGAAAGUCACAUCGAUAAGUAUGUCGAGCAGAAGUAACAUCAACAAGUAUGUCGAGUAGCGCCCCCGUUCUGUGAGCGGUAAUUCACUCUGUCUUCGAACGGGGAUCAUCUCUCCGCUCGGUCAUUAACUCUGUCUUCGCGGAUCAUCGCUCAUUCAUAGAGGUGUGAUCAACUGGUCUAGGUGCCCUUUCCUUGGAAUGGGUCCCAUAUUUCUGUGUUGAAUCAUCAAAUGACAAAUCAUGUGUUUCAGCCUUAGACCCCGGAGAGAUAUUCUGUAUUCUUAGCAAUAUUCUUAGUAGUAAAGUCGCUAUUGUCUUAUCCUACUUAGUGGAAUUAUGUCUUCAAUCAUAGAUCUGUAGACUGAACACUGGAAUCACAGAUAUAUAGUGAAGCGAUAAAGUUUCGCUGGUUUUUGACCUUAUUUAGCUUAGCAAAUAGAAAGAAGUUUUACUAUACAGCAAAAGAAUAAUGAAUGGAAUGUAGUUGCGCGGCUAGCUUAGCGUAACUCUUUUCGGCAGUUGAACUAGACAAGUGUUUUCAUAUCAAAUAGGGGAGCCUUACUCUCCCAUCCCUAAGCUAAGCCCCAACCCCCUUGCUCUAACUCUAACUACUCUUACUUAUAUUCUUCAAAUAAUAGCUCUGGCCCUGCCUUGCUUUCGGUCUUACUACCAAACUCUGCAACUAAAUACUUUCAUCUUGCCCACAAGAACAGUAUGCCGAUCCCUUGAUCUUGGUCUACCGUCUAAAACAUACACUGCUCUGUCUCAUUCCCGCGCUGUUUAGUUUCAAUAUGAUGGGCCCUCUUCUGCUAAUAAGAGUAGAAUUGCUGUUUCUAAGAAUCGACCUGGGGAUAAAGAAUACACCUACCGUGCAGAGAUGUGGUAAGUAACCAUUAGAAUGGAACAGGUGUUGACAAGAAUGACCUACCAACUAGGAAACCUCAAAAGAAUAGAAAUAGUACUCAUCGGACCUUCUACUACUAAUAUCAGAAUAUGACUACCGCUUCCAGAGCUUAACUUAACUACAUAACUCAGGUCGAUCUCGAACCUCGCUCUACCAUACCGCCGCCUGCCCCUCUUUUUGCAUUCCGCAUUGAUAGCUUGAGUAUUGAACUCCCCUAUCUUAGGCUUACUUUACGACUUCUGUCCUUACUGCCCGGCAUCCACAUAUGUAUUUGUCCCACCAAGCAACCCAUAUCACUCUGACGCUCCCGGCGCUUAGUCUAAAAUGAAUUCCUUCUAGCCUUAAAGCGACUAUUCUCAGUGUACUAUUACUAUUAAAUGACAAACUUGUGCUUCUCGUAACCUCCUCUCUAAACAUAGGAUCGAACAAGGUGCUUUUGAGUCUAAUGAAUGCACUACUAUUUCUAUCAAGUAGUAUGCCCACUUUCUCAAAAGAAAGGUGCUAAGAGCGUUCACCCUGUCACUAGAAAGAAAGGAAUAUCGGCAAGGAAAGGAAUAUCGGCUGCUCAACCUGUCACUAGAAAGAAAGGUGCUAAGAGCGUUCACCCAACACUAGAGAGUACUUGAUUCUGGCCUUUGCUUCUUGCCCUUGUUUGCUUGUUGAGAGCACCUGUUCUAUGAUUUUGUAAGCGCUAACUGAGGUAUGCACUGCAACUCUCAUACUUUUCUAUGACGGGAUCCUCAAUAAGAAGAUAAAGGCGAGGAUCUUCAUCCACGACAGGAGGAAGCCUUAAGCGGUGCCGACUCUGCCAGCCUUUUGUCCUAUUAGUUUCGCUUUCAAAGGAGUCAAUGGGAAAACUAGGGAUAUGGAUUCAUUAGGUUCAAAUUCUCCUUUUGUUCUUUUAAGGCAUAAGAGAGGAGGGAACAACCAUUGUGAAUGAUGCUAAGCUAUCAAAAGUCACUACGCAACCUCUACUCAAGAGUACGUAAGAGAUGAGGGAGGAUCGAUCGGAUCGGGCUUUUAUUUAAAAUCAAGCAUUCUGACCCUAGCCUAUCUCACCAUGGAAGUUUCUAGCCUUAGCAUAUAGGGCGGUCCUUAAGCGGUAACGGAGGCCGUGUUUCACUGAUACUUUCCCAUAUAAGGAGUGGAUGCUGGUGAGCUGCUCAAUAAUACUUGUUCUCCUAAAAUAUUUGGAAAUCUCCCUUGAGGGUAGGGAUGACUCUUUUAGCAGCAUAUGUCCCCUAGGGUUUGAUCUCCCUUAAAGCUUCUUCUUUGGUGUAACAAUGGCUUAAGGCCGAAUUCAUCUUCUUCCAUCCCUGCACUGUUAUACGUGCCAAUCCUUUCCAUUCAAGCUCGGGCCGUAGGUGUAAGAUCCCAGUUCUUCGGUGCAGUUAAGAGGUGGGGCUAGCUAAUGCAGUUAAGAGGUGGGGCUAGCGAAACUUACUCCACUUCAUAGAUCUCUCUUCUGCUCUCCGCAUCAAUGGCAUGAGAAUUCUUUGGCUUUGUCAGGCAAUGGCAUGAACUGGGGACUGCUAAACAAGCUUAGAUUUCUCAUUUCCUGAUCAUUAUCGAAAUCACCAUUUGCUAACUCUCACAAUCAACGAGCGAAGAUAAGCAGAGAAUUGUGCUUGUGUUGGGUUGGGGAGAAAAGGUUUUCUCAAUCCCCGUCUUCUAAUCCAGUAGGAGCCAUCCUUGCCUAAUCCAGAAUGUGAGAGAGUUGCAAUCAUCUCCAGAAUGUGAGAGAGUUGCAAUCAUAACUAAAUAAGGAAGCACUCAAUCGCAGCUUGAUGGGCUCUAGCUCUAAAUGGCCCAAUCCAGCAUCGCCGAAUCCACCCGAUCAAAUGUUCGUUUUCUCAAAAGGAAAGGUUCAAAAAGGGUGCGUGCGCGCUUCAAGGCUAGGUGCAUUAUUGGAUUGGCACUCUUGCUUUCACUUAGGGUUUAGAUCGGGAUUCUUGUUUUACCAGCUAAGCAUUUCAGGGGUUGGUUAAUAGACGCUUUAAGAGCAACGGGCCCCAUAAGAAAAGAGGUUGAUAGACACUAGACCUAUAGGGGGAGGGAGGAAGCGACUGAAAGGAUAAGGAUAGGG